ACAUACCAUGUAGAACUCUCGACACAAUGAAAGUUAUGUAUAGCUUAUAGUUCUCUGCAUCUUAGCCGAGUAAAAUUGUUUGAUGAAAGGUAGUGUUUGCGUGUACUUGCAAUAUGAAAUUACGUUCACUUUCCUAAAAAAAUUACAUUCACUUCUUUUUCUUGAAAACCAUCAAAGAAAUGUCAAAACACAGCAAAAUAUAUAACUACGUGGUUAAUUUUGUCGGAUUAAUUAGGAAUAGUUGAAGCACCCGCAAAUAAGAAGGGCAUGACAAUGCUAAUAAGCAACAAAUCUUCAUGGAGUAAUUGAAGAAUCGUGACCGAACAAUUAUUCUUUUAUAGUAAUCCAUAAUCAUUCCUAUUGCAUGUUGUAGUAUGUUGUAUGGUAAAAAACUUAAUGUUUCACAAAGUUUAUACUGAAAGUAGCUUUUGAAAGUUAAAGGGCCCCGGGUCCUAGUUUCGCCUUGGGCCCCUAAAAUCUCAGGACCGGCCCUAUUGCUACCUCUACUGUAUGGAGCACGACCGUUGUCGGGGAGUGCGUCGCCGGAAACGCCUUGCGGCGAGCGUGCUGAUAACGUGUAAAGAAUUGAGAUCGAGAGAGAAUCAACAAUUGAUGUAACUGAAUCAGUAUUGUUUAUUGAUGGGAAUGAAUCCUUAUAUACAUCAUGGAUGGACGCCUUCAAGGGAUAUGUCGGUGCCCAGAGGGGAGUAACCGCUACGACGGUUCCCACGUCGUGGGAUAAAGCGGGAGAGCGGGGAUUUAUCCCCUAAAUCCCCUAAUAACACUGGGUUAUUAUUAAGAAAUAUUAUCUUACUUCUUACAGCUUGCUGACUAUACCUUUAUUGUACUUGCUCUGAUGUUCACUAUCGUCCCUGGUGAGCUCCUCCAGCCGACGGCAGAUUGAGAUCCAGCCUUGCUGUGGACAAGUAACUGAUGAAGAGUACAGUGACUGACCCCCUUCUUCACACCGUCCAAUGAAGGAUCAAACAAUACAUGAUCUAUGGCCAACUCCACCGCGUGAUGAGAACAUCAAUACCAUUGUUACACCCACAACCCCUACUGUUACAUACACUGGACCAAUUACUAGAGCUCGCGCACGCCAAUUAAAUUACCAGGGCCUAGCUUGGAGAAGGAUGAACAUUGGAGCAAGAACACGCAUGAAGUUGAUGGCAUGCGCAAGGGGAUCAAGAACGGAGUUAUAAGUGAUGAUUUCAGGACUUUGAAGCCGCCAUAAGGAGUGCAUGAAGCCUUGGACGAAAUAUACAAGAUGCCAUUUCAUAAUAUUCAUCCAUAGACUAUUCUAGGUGUUGCGUCACCUUAUUAAUGGGCCAGGCCCAUGUAAUUUCGAAAUACUUAAGUA